UGCUUACGAAGCAGUUCUUGAAAAGACUGGCAUUCUGGGCACGAAGAUUGACUUGAUUCUGGCAAUCAUCCGGAUCGGGCUGUUCUUUGGGGAUAAGGUGUUUGUCAAAAAGCAGAUUGAGAGAGCAGGCGCAUUGGUCGAGAGUGGCGGGGACUGGGACCGAAGAAAUCGUCUAAAGGCCUACAAGGGACUCCACCUCCUCACCAUCCGCUCAUAUAACCUGGCCGCAACGCUUCUCCUCGACAGCUUGUCUACGUUCACCAGCUACGAAUUAUGCAGUUACUCGUCUCUUGUUGUCUACUCCGUCCUGGCGGGCUCCCUUGCCUUGAAGCGCGUGGAUUUUAAAGCAAAAGUCGUCGAUGCGCCUGAAAUCAAGGCCAUCCUCGGAGAAGGAGAAGACAACAUACCCGCCUUAAGUCGCUCAGGUUCCUCGGGCCCCGAUGCUGGAGAUGAAGAGAUGAAAGAUGCCACGGCAACCACAACUCCAGGGGUUGCGUCGACGGUUGUAAAUCUUACCACCCUCGGCGCUGAAAGUGGAUUUGUGCCAGAGGAAGAGAUCCCAAUGGACUUCUCCCCACUCUCCAACCUUGUCAGCAGCUUGUACAAUGGCAUAUACCGCUCGUUCUUCCUGGCGCUAGCGGCCGUUGAGGAUAAUUUCCUGAGUAAAGACCGCUACCUCCAUGAACACCGGGCGUGGUUUGUGCGCGAGAUGCGGCUACGCGGAUACCAGCAACUGCUACAAAGUUAUCGUGUUGUCGGUCUGAGUAGCAUGGCGAACGAUUUUGGCGUCACCGUUGAUUUCCUUGAUAAGGAUCUUGCCAAAUUCAUCGCCGGCGACAGAAUAGCAUGCACGAUUGACCGUGUCAACGGCAUCAUUGAGACGAACCGGCCCGACGACAAGAAUAAGCAGUAUGCAGAUGUAGUGAAGCAAGGAGAUGCGUUGAUCACGAAGCUAC
rnacentral:sRNA from 1 species